GUGCUCACCUCAGCAGCACGUACUCUAAACUCAGAACGAUGCGGAGAAGAUCAGCGUGGCCCCUGUGCAAGGGUGACAUGCACAUUCGUGAAGCAUUCCAUGCUUUU